rnacentral:lncRNA from 1 species
UUCUUUAAAAAUAAUGGAAAGAAAAUGAUACACCUUGCAUCUCAAGGGACAGUUUUGCAAUCAUGCUGAGCCUAAUUGAUGAACAUGUUGUGCUGGCACUAAAUCCUCAAAGACUUCCUAGCACCUCAGCAAAUAUGCUAAUGUUCACAGUUGUGUUGGAUAUUUGGUUCAUGGCACUGCUGAGGAACUGUAGUAAAGGAAUAUAUAAUUGAUACCAAGGAACUGUGCUGUAAAAGUGGUCAAAUUAUUAUUUGUAGAGAUGGGCCUGCUUGACAGAUUUGGAUUAGGCAAACGAUGGUAUGUGAUUUAAAAGUGAAAAGAGAAAAAUGUCAGGGAGACUGGUUUAAAACAUGGAGAAUUGCCAGUAUGGGGGGAGAAGGGAGUGGCAAAAACUGUUGUGAUCUCAGCUUCUUCAAUGAGUGUUGUUUACAAAUGAGAAGAAACAGAAGAAUCCAGCCUAAGUCUUCCCAAGUAGAUUCAUUUUCUCAGUCUCAACUGACGGCUCAAGAGAGCAAUCAUCUGGGAUCUAGCAAAGUCUUCCGUCAGGUACGUGAAUCUUCCAUCAAUGUUAAAGAAUGCCCUGCUGCUUGUUUUCCAGGAGAGCACCUCACAUAUAAUAAACCUAAAUAGAUGGUUUCCUACAAUGGG